rnacentral:lncRNA from 12 species
GCUUGGGGCCCAUUAGAGAACUCUACCAAUGCACUGUGAAACUCAGUAUUUUGAGCUUCCAAGGACUGCAACCUAACUACAUAUUGACUACAAGAAUGACUUCAGGUGGUGGAGAUGAGAUGAGCUCAUGAUAAAGUCACAGAGAUGCUUGUGGUGUUGUAAGAGAAAGGAUCAUGCAUGGAGCAGGAGUGAGAAGCCAGAGCUGGGAGAAAGGUGGAAAUGUGCUCUCCAGUGGAAAUGCUGGCUUCUCCCACUUGGACUGGCGUGGAACAGCGGCAGGAAUAUUCUCCCAGGAAGUUGUGCAACACAAGAUGCAGACAUUUUGGAGAGAAGCUGAAGAAACUUUUUGUAGAUCUCAAGCUGCAGAGGGAGCUCAGUCCACUAACAACAGACAUGCCCUGUGGAUUUGCCUGGAACUUAAGAGACCCUACUGAAAUGUGUAAUUUUGCUCCAACUCUUUCAAACACUUUCAGAACCAGAGACACAACUGAAACAAAUGAGGUGAAGUACUGAUCAUAAAAGAUCUCCUGCCUGCUGCCAUGACUGAGAUAAGAAUGAAAGAAAUUGACACAGG